rnacentral:rRNA from 1 species
UACGUAGGUGGCAAGCGUUGUCCGGAUUUAUUGGGUUUAAAGGGUGCGUAGGCGGUCUAUUAAGUCAGUGCUGAAAUAUCCCGGCUUAACCGGGAGGGUGGCAUUGAUACUGAUGGACUUGAGUGCAGUCGAGGUAGGCGGAAUUGACGGUGUAGCGGUGAAAUGCUUAGAUAUCGUCAAGAACACCGAUAGUGUAGACAGCUUACUAGGCUGUAACUGACGCUGAGGCACGAAAGUGUGGGGAUCAAACAGGAUUAGAAACCCCCGUAGUCC